rnacentral:rRNA from 1 species
AGCGUAGUUCGGAAUUACUGGGCGUAAAGCGCGCGUAGGCCGUUGAGUUAGUUAAUUGUGAAAUCCCAAAGCUUAACUUUGGAACUGCAAUUAAAACUGCUCGACUAGAGUUUGAUAGAGGAAAGCGGAAUACAUAGUGUAGAGGUGAAAUUCGUAGAUAUUAUGUAGAACACCAGUUGCGAAGGCGGCUUUCUGGAUCAACACUGACGCUGAGGCGCGAAAGUAUGGGUAGCAAAGAGGAUUAGAUACCCUCGUAGUCCAUACCAUAAACGAUGAUUGCUAGAUGUUGGAAAUUUAUUUUCAGUAUCGCAGCUAACGCAUUAAGCAAUCCGCCUGGGGAGUACGACCGCAGGUAAAACUCAAAUGAAUUGACGGGGACCCGCACAAGCGGUGGAGCAUGUGGUUUAAUUCGAAGAUACGCGCAGAACCUUACCAACCCUUGACAUGUCUGUCGCGAGUUAGGAAACUAGACUUUUCGGUUCGGCCGGACAGAACACAGGUGCUGCAUGGCUGUCGUCAGCUCGUGUCGUGAGAUGUUGGGUAAGUCCGCAACGAGCGCAACCCCUACUUUUAGUUGCCAUCAGGUCAUGCUGGGCACUCUGAAGAACUGCCAGUGAUAACUGGAGGAAGGUGGGGAUGACGUCAAUCCUCAUGGCCCUACGGGUGGGCUACACACGUGCU